UUCUACAAAAAACUUGGAAGCAGUAGAAGCAGGCUUAAAGUGAAAGACCCCCGGAGUGGGGAGACCCUCACUCAAGUCUCGGGAUGACGCAACCCGCCAAGAACUCACACAAGACC
rnacentral:pre_miRNA from 14 species